ACGGGGGGUGCAAGCGUUGUUCGGAAUUAUUGGGCGUAAAGAGCGUGUAGGCGGCUGAAUAAGUCAGAUGUGAAAUCCCUGGGCUUAACCCAGGAAGUGCAUUUGAAACUAUUCAGCUUGAGUAGGGGAGAGGAAAGUGGAAUUCCUGGUGUAGAGGUGAAAUUCGUAGAUAUCAGGAGGAACCCCGGUGGCGUAGGCGGCUUUCUGGACCUAUUCUGACGCUGAGACGCGAGAGCGUUGUUAGCAUACUG
rnacentral:rRNA from 1 species